GCAAGUGGCGAAGCAACCGUAUUGCAUGGAGAGGGUGGUGCUCGUGUCGUCAGCGCAGUCCAUCAAGCACACCCACACGAGCCUUUAGUCGGCCUCAUGACGCAGCCACUGCCCUUGUCCACCAUCCUGCGGCACCCGCUCGCCUCGAAGCGGUGCAUGAUGAUAUUCCAUCAGAACGGCGAGGAGACAAUGGAACUGUUCGAGCUGCUCUCCCGCUAUGAGGCUGUCGGUCCGAUCGGUCAGGGCAGCUACGGCUAUGUCUGCUCCGCCCGCGAUAACGACCUUGUAGAGAGGUUCCAGGCAAAACCGCCAGAGGAGUACGAGGACGCCUCGCUAACAUUGGAGGAGCGGGAGGAGGUUUACGACACGAACACCCUCGUCGCCAUCAAGAAACUGCGCCAGCUUUUCGAAAACAACCAGCCGCGUAUGUGGCUGUGCGCCACUCGGGAAAUACAGCUCAUGAUGGCGUUCCAGCACGACAACGUCAUGUCGGCGACGGACUUCUUCAUUCCCCUCGGCGGUGUGGAGAUGAUGACAUACGACUCCAUCCUGCAGCUUCAGCACACCUUCGACGGCGUCUACGUGGUUAUGAAAAAGAUGGACUACACGCUGCGCGAGGUGCUCGAUUCCACCAUUGUGACGGCGGCGGAGCUGGCGCCGGGGUACGAGACGUGGCUGCGACGUUUGAGGCUGUUGAUGGCGAACUGCGGCGAGGUGAACGCAGAUGUCAGUAGCACCCCGACCCCUGUGCGGGCAUCGCGCCUGAACGUAAAGGCAGAGGCUCAAGGUGAGGACCAGGCAGCAGCCGCGCCGCAUAGCAGCACGGAGCAAAGUCGUAGCGGUGGCAGAGAGGAUGUUGAGGACGAAGCCGGCGCGACUGUAACGUCGUCAUUAGACUACCCAGUCGCAGCUGCACCAGCAGCAGCAGCAGCAGCAGCGCCAACGAACGAUCACGACGCCCCCGUGGCCAAGACCUCUACUGAUGGCGGUGUCGAAGGGAAGGGUGGCGGCGACGACGAAGGCGCUCCUGUGUGUUGCCCGCUGACGACGGUCGCCCUCCACUCCCUCACCCGCGACUACCGCAAGUUUAUUCUGUACCAAAUAUUCCGCGGUGUCGGCUACCUUCAUCUGUGCCCGGUAAUCCACCGCGAUCUGAAGCCGGAGAACAUCAUGCUCGACCGCAGCUACGGCACCCGUAUCACGGACUUUGGCCAGGGCCGCGAUGUCGGACUCAACGCGACAACCGACUACGUGCAGACAGUGCUGGACAACUGCACCCAGUGGUACGCUGCGCCAGAGACGCUGACAGUCGCCAUCAAUAGCCCGAUGGGCUUCAUCGACCACGACAGCUUCCACGGCGUCGAUGUCUGGUCCAUCGGGUGCAUUGCAGCCGAAAUGCUGAUCGGACGCCCCCUCUUUUACACCACCUCGAUGGGCGGGAAGUCCCAGCUGCUGAGCAUUUUCCGCGUGCUGGGCGAGCCGUCGGCGAGCGCCAUCGAGUCUAUCGCCGAGUACCGCGACAAGGAGACGAGGGAGCUUUUCAUGAACUCCGUCAAGAAACUGGUGAAGACAGCGCCACCGUCAAACACCAUCACGCCGACGCUAGCGGAGCUCCUGCGGAGCCCUUACGGCGACGAGGACGAGGAUGAGGUGGGUCUCAUCAUCGACUGCCUGCGCUGGGACCCGCGGGAGCGCAUCACGAUUCAGGCAGCGCUGCAGAACCCGUUCUUCACAAAGGACGGGUACGACCCAGUGAUCGACCCCGAAGACACGGCCAAGCGCGUGCCCUCGGUGAGACCCGAGGACAUAUCAGAGCCGGUGAGCGGGCGGGCGUUCUUGUGGAACCUUUUCCUCGAGCGCCAUCCGGAGGUGAAGGAGCUGUGGAACUCCCUCGUGGCCAAGCACGAGGAGGAGCUGAAGGUGAAGAAGGCGGCGGCAGAUACCUAGGUAGAGAGGGGGUCAUCGGACCCACAGAGCAUCACACAUCUACACAGUUGGUAGCGAGAGGAGCAAAGGCCUUGUUCAGGCCGCGCCUUGCCGUACACGCACGCACGUAGGUAGGUUUGUGUGUGUAUGGGGGGUGUCUUCCGAUGGCCACUGAUGAAGCUGAAACUCAGGAGUCGAAGAGGAAAGAGGGAGGAGGUUGGGCGGGAUGGGUGAUGGCACUUGAUACACGUGCGCGCUACCCUACAUCUCACCCCGUGAAUACCCCACACUCCGCCUUCGCUCUGAACUCUUGGUCUCUCCCCGCUCUAAUGCCGAGUCACCAUCACCGUCGCGCUCAACCUCUCGUCCUUGCAUGCUCGUGUUGUGUUUCGAGGAGAGGCCUCCGCGCCACAGCUCCCGGCCUCCCUUAUCGGCGUUGUCGAGCCAGCACUCUAUAUAUAAACCUAUAUAUAUAUAUAUAUAUGUGUGUGUGUAUGUGUAUUGUGAAGAAACUUAUCUUCCUGUAGGUUGUGCGCGUGUGUGUGUGUGUGUGUUUGGGCGUUGUUGUUGGCGGCACGUUCGCUUGCAUGGGCGGAGGGCGGAGGGGUGUAUUUAUGUGUAGCUUGCUGUUCCUUUAUACAACCUCUCUCUCUUUGGCUUAGGUUUUGUUCGGUUGGGCGUCGAGCGUCUGCGCUUGAAUCGGGAGGUAUAGGUAAGUACGUGUUCCUCCUGUGCGUUGCGUGGCAUGCGUGUGUGUGCGAGCACGAACGUGCCCCACGCAGCCGCGCAUACACUCUAACGAGUGUGUGUGUGUGUCUUUCUCUCGAUGUGGCCCCUCCCUCUCCCUCUCCCUCCCCCUCUUCCUCCUCUUUCUUUGGCUGUACGCUGGCUCUCGCGUCCCUCUUAUCCCUCUCACCUCAGCCCCCCCCUUCUCCUCCUCCAUCUCCUCUGCGUCGUCGCCAACCGCAUCCGCAUGCAACGACCCACGGGCGUGCUCAACGCUUCUUGUAUUUUUAUUGCGACGUCGCCGUCACGUGUGUGGGUGUGUGUGUGUGUGUGUGUGUGUGUGUGUGUCUUGUGUGGUUCAUUGUUGUUGUUUUCCUUUCUUCGCCCUCCUCUCCUCCUCCCCUCUGUGAUGUCAAACACGCCAACGCGAAUUGAAACGCGUACACCGCCAACGAUUUCGCCCCAUCGCCCAACAAGAUCGGAGCAGAGAGGCAUCGCCGGCCCUCACCGCAUUUUUGUUGUGCGCACUUGUGACUGCCGCUACGCGUGCUUGCUUUGCUGUUC
rnacentral:misc_RNA from 1 species